rnacentral:rRNA from 1 species
AUUGAACGCUGGCGGCAUGCCUUACACAUGCAAGUCGAACGGCAGCACGGGUGCCUGCACCUGGUGGCGAGUGGCGAACGGGUGAGUAAUACAUCGGAACGUACCUUAUCGUGGGGGAUAACGCAGCGAAAGCUGUGCUAAUACCGCAUACGCCCUGAGGGGGAAAGCGGGGGAUCGCAAGACCUCGCGCGAUUAGAGCGGCCGAUGCCUGAUUAGCUUGUUGGUGGGGUAAAAGCCCACCAAGGCGACGAUCAGUAGCUGGUCUGAGAGGACGAUCAGCCACACUGGGACUGAGACACGGCCCAGACUCCUACGGGAGGCAGCAGUGGGGAAUUUUGGACAAUGGGGGCAACCCUGAUCCAGCAAUGCCGCGUGAGUGAAGGAGGCCUUCGGGUUGUAAAGCUCUUUUGUCAGGGAAGAAACACCGGCUCUAACACAGUCCGGGAAUGACGGUACCUGAAGAAUAAGCACCGGCUAACUACGUGCCAGCCGCCGCUGUAA